ensembl:lncRNA
AUGGUGGGGCGGGGGGACGGGGGAGAGUUUCCAAAGGCUUCAUACUCCCAAGAGGUUCCCAAACUCCAAGCUGGACACUCCAUCCCCGAUCCUCACUGCAGAGAACAGACUCCUGAGCUCCAGAAAGCCUGGGGACUGACCACAGCUCCCCGAGGAGCUCCUGCAGAGCCUGGAAGUCCAGGGCUGAGGCCUGUUACCGUCACAUCACUGUCUCUGCCUCAGCCUGCACAUGGCUUUCCCCUCUUCUGUGUCCCUGCCUUGUCUCCUCUAAGGACACUUUUGAUGACACGGAGACCCCACCUGGGUAAUCUAGGAUGAUCGGAUCUCAGUAUCCUUGACAUCUACAAAGGACCCUUUCUCCAGAUAAGGUCAUAUCCACAGGUUCCAGGGAUAAAGAUGUGGACUUAUCUUUUGGGGGCCGCCAUUCAACCCGGUGCAACCACGAGCGUUAUCACUGCUGUCAGCAUCCUUACAAACAUCAGUUAAGUACUAAUGUACCAGGCUUAGUCUGGGUGCUUUUCCUGUACCAUCUCCUUUAGUCCUUAAGACAAACUUAGGGCAGGUACUGUUAUUAUCCCCAUUUAAUAAGGACAUCGAGGCUCAGGGAGAAGUGAGCCCUUGUCCAGGGUCUCCCUUGAAACCCAGGCAGUCUGAUUUCAGUGUCUCCUGCCUUGCCAUAGUUACCUUGCUCCACCCCAUCCUGUUUCUGAUCAUACAGAUAAUUCCAUGGCAGAAUCAGUGUGGGACAAUGAGCACCCAAAUGGGUGGCAAGGUGCCUGGGUUCUGAUCUAGGUUCUGCCAUUAGACAGAGGCAGAUGCCAGCCGGGUCUCUUCCCCACUCUGGGCCUCAGUGUGCCCAUUGGUAAAAUCGGAAAGUGGUUGGUUUGGAUAAUCUCCAAGAUCCUCCCAGCUCUUAAGUUCUGUGAUGCUGGGUGUCAUCUGUCAACUUGCUUCUAUUCAAAUGCUGCCCACAGCUCAACUCUCUAAAUCUGCUACCUACUGCCAGAGAUGGGUUUGCUUGGAAGGCUGGCGGAAGGGGGAACAAGUGCUGGUGACAGAGACACGAAGGGUGGUGCUGGCUUCCCUACUUUCCCUCUCUCUUCCCGUACCACCAGGCUGGCAGCACCCUGCUGUGGAAGGACUAGGGGGUGGGGGUACUCUCUUCUCUUGGAGCCCAAGACUUUUGGUCCAUACAUUCAGGGAGGGAUUCCAAAGUUGAGAGCUGUCAUGGUUUUUGGGAACAGAGCCCCAGACCCACAGGCUUUAGCCAGAAGCUGGCCCUCACAGUAGGCUCCAGAAAUCAUCUGGGGGCUGGAAAAGUCCUUGUUGAUCAUCUAAGGCCAAGAGACUGGGAGAGGCCACAGCAACCCAAUCCCAAGCCUCCUGCCCUUGGAAGUUGCGGGGGUGGGGGGGUGGAAAACACAAAACAGGCUGGGGGGAGUCUCUGAAUGUCACUUCCAAAGCCUGGCCUGCUCAUUAGGAGUCGUUUGUUUAUAAGUAUAAACAGAUUUUAAAAGUCCUUUUUAGAUUGUGAACUCAGGCCCUUUUCCUCUGGCUUCUUCCUCUGCUUCUCUGUACAGAACACGACUGUUUGCAUUUCAGCUAAGAGUGGGGAGUUAGGGACAGAAUUGCCAACUUUCAUUAGCAGGUGAGAUUAACAUCUCAGCAGGGGCCUGGGGGGGUGGGGCAUCUUCAGGUCCAUCCGAUCCCCCACGGACACAUCCCCCGACACAUUCCCAGUUGAGGGCUCCCGGUGGGGGUAAGCCUGGAGUUGGAAGAACCAGGGGCAGUUUAUACCUGCCGAGUUCAUCUCCCCUCGCCCGGCCUCAAGCUGAGCCUCACCCCUCUUCCGAGGCCCCGGGUCCAAACACUGGCUCUGCUCCCCGGUCUCUGCUGCGUUUGUCCCUGCAGGUGUCUGGGCAGAAUGAAACCUAGCUGUGUGACCAUGGGCCACUUACUCACUCUCUCAGGGUACAGGAGUUUUAAGUGGGGAGGUUUGUUGGAAGCCAAGCCCCAAGCGCGAGUGGAAGAAUUCGACCCUCCUCGCGGUUCACGCGCCACCAGCCUCCCCUGGCUGGGUUUCAGGCAAGACCGAGAAUUUUUUGGUCUUUAUCCGGUUUAGUUUCUUGUGCUUCCAGCGGCAGCGGGGCUGUUCACCACAGUCCCCAGGAAAUUGUCCACGUAGGACAGAGCCUUCCCGAGGAGAAUGAAGUCAUCUGUUCCUUUUUUAAAAAAUUUUUGUUGCCUUCUCCUUCAACACGAGUCACCCGGCCUCUGCACUUUCCCCCCCGCGCAAACAACAGGCCCGGCGAGGUGGGGUCGGCCGGGCCGGCGUGGGGAUGGGGCGAGGAGCGAACCCCACGGGCCGGGGGGGCUGCCCGGGGGUGGGGAGCGCGCCCCCUUCUCCGCCCCGAUCCCCGCCCACCGCCCCCCCCCACCCCGCUUCCACUCUCGACUAACCCCGGGAACGCCCGAAAGGUGAGCUCCCGGGAGGGCCGCCCGCGCUCCGGCGCGGCCAGCUCGGCAAACAAUAACAGUAAAUAACGCUUCCUUGUCAACGUAAUAAAAACGGAAACGGUUACA